rnacentral:misc_RNA from 1 species
UUGGUUAGAGCGCGCGCUUGAUAAGCGUGAGGUCGGAAGUUCAAGUCUUCCCAGGCCCACCAUUUUGAUCGAGUGCGGAGCAUUCGUCUUCUGGUACGGGGCCAUAGCUCAGCUGGGAGAGCGCGUGCUUUGCAAGCAUGAGGUCGUCGGUUCGAUCCCGUCUGGCUCCACCAGAUGGAAUUGAAGCUCGAUAGCGCCUCGUUCAUUUCGUCCGCGAAACAUCACUUCGCACUCAUUGGUCCGGAUGGACGGUGACGUGCGUGUUUUCUGACAUCGUAAAGAGGAGAUCGAUCCGAGUUUGGAUCAAGCGAAGCAAUUCGCCUGAGCCAUUCAUUAUCUCCGGGAUCAUUUCGGCGCUCGCUUCAAUCGUGAGAUUGGAUGCGGGUUGUAAAUGAUCCCUUUUAGCGAAGCUUGACCGCCUCGCUAUCGGGCCGAUCUUACGAAGCAAGCUGGUCUUUCUAGUCAAUGUCCGGCUGCGCAAUCGCAUUCAUCGAGGAUGCGUGCCUGAGACUUCGGUCUUCGGGCAGUUGUGCAGACAACAUUCUGCCGAGUGUGUGGACAUUGAUAAUGAGAGCAAUCAAGUGCCUUAAGGGUGUUCGGUGGAUGCCUUGGCGCUGAGAGGCGAUGAAGGACGUGCUACGCUGCGAUAAGCCGUGGGGAGCUGCGAAGAAGCUUUGAUCCGCGGAUUUCCGAAU